GUUACAUGUUGGAUAAAUGGUACUCAGCAAGGUCCAAGCCUGCACAAGAAUUAACAAGUAACUUAGAUUUGAACCUAACUGCCUGACUUCUAAAUCUAUAGGACAUAGAUCCCAUGAGGACAGGGACACAUGAAAUAUAGACAAUGAGGGGAAGAGGCUCAUGUUCAACAUUUCCUGAGGAUGAACCAUCCAUCUCGUGAGCGUGCAGCACACCUGCAGGACUUAAAAGUCAAACUCAGGUCUUACACCAGCAAGAUAUUCAGAGCUGAUAUUUCACAGCUGUGUUAACUGUUUCUCAGAUUUGGACUCCUAGCCAAUUGUAGAGGCAAGAAAGAAGGGGAACAUAGAAGAAGGAGACCAAAAAGUCUGAAGGACAGUGAUUGCAGAAGAAGAAGAAAUUAUUCUAGAAAAUCAAGAGCAGAGUUUAUUGAGGACAAGAAAGAAAACAAGACAGCAGGUAAAGAAAGAAGUAAAAUCAGAAUGAGAGCAAGUGAAUUGUCCUUUUCUUCACAUGAAGUAUUCAGUGUAAAAUAUCAUUCUAUAACACAAUAUUCCUCAUCUUAUAUUUUUUAGAAAAAACAUAUCACUGAAACAUCCAUCUACUUUCAAUAGAAGCAGGAUAGCUCCCAGGUAAACACUUCUCUCAUUUUCCUUGUUUCCACAAGUCUUAAGUGGAUUUGUUCUUCAGGAAUAGAAAUUGGAAUAUAAAAGUAAGACAAUAAUCUGGAAAAAGACAAAAGAGAGAAAGG
ensembl:lncRNA